CACGGGGGGAGCAAGCGUUGUUCGGAAUCACUGGGCGUAAAGGGCGUGUAGGCGGUCAUGUAAGUGGAAUGUGAAAUCCCUCGGCUUACCCGAGGACCUGCAUCCCAAACUGCAUGACUUGAGUACGGGAGAGGAUGAGGGAAUUCCUGGUGUAGCGGUGAAAUGCGUAGAUAUCAGGAGGAACACCGGUGGCGAAGGCGCUCAUCUGGCCCGUUUCUGACGCUGAGGCGCGAAAGCCAGGGGAGCGAACGGG
rnacentral:rRNA from 1 species